rnacentral:rRNA from 1 species
CCUACGGGGGGCUGCAGUAAGGAAUAUUGGUCAAUGGACGAAAGUCUGAACCAGCCAUCCCGCGUGCAGGAUGAAAGCCCUAUGGGUUGUAAACUGCUUUUAGCAGAGAAGAAAAGCUUUCAUUAAUGAGAGUCUGACGGUAUCUGCAGAAUAAGCACCGGCUAACUCCGUGCCAGCAGCCGCGGUCAUACGGAGGGUGCGGGAGUUACUCGGAUUUACGGGGGUGAAGGGGGACUAAGACGGAAGAGGUGAAAUCUUGUCGCUUAACGAUAAAAUUGCCAAUGAUACUGGUACUCUUGAAUUGGGUUGAGGUUAGCGGAAUGUGACAUGUAGCGGUGAAAUGCAUAGAUAUGUCAUGGAACACCAAUUGCGAAGGCAGCUAACUGGGCCUUGAUUGACGCUGUGGCACGAAAGCGUGGGUAGCGAACAGGAUUAGAUACCCUUGUAGUC